rnacentral:sRNA from 1 species
GCCGGGCACAGUGGUGCAUGCCUGUAAUCCCAGCGACUCUGGAGGCUAAGAUAGGAGGAUCGCAAGUUCAAAGCCAGCCUCAGCAAAAAGCAAGGUGCUAAGCAACUCAGUGAGACCCUGUCUCUA